UACAGAGGUGGCUAGCGUUGUUCGGAAUUACUGGGCGUAAAGGGCGCGUAGGCGGCUUGGUCAGUCCCGUGUGAAAUCCCUCGGCUCAACUGAGGAACUGCACGGGAAACUGCCUGGCUUGAGUUCGGGAGAGGGAUGCGGAAUUCCAGGUGUAGCGGUGAAAUGCGUAGAUAUCUGGAGGAACACCGGUGGCGAAGGCGGCAUCCUGGACCGACACUGACACUGAGGAGCGAAAGCCAGGGGAGCAAACGGG
rnacentral:rRNA from 1 species